rnacentral:rRNA from 1 species
UACGUAGGGGGCAAGCGUUGUCCGGAUUCAUUGGGCGUAAAGAGCGUGUAGGCGGCCAGGUAGGUCGGUUGUGAAAACUGGAGGCUCAACCUUCAGAGGUCGACCGAAACCAUCUGGCUAGAGUCCGGGAGAGGAGAGUGGAAUUCCUGGUGUAGCGGUGAAAUGCGCAGAUAUCAGGAAGAACACCCGUGGCGAAAGCGGCGUCUCUGGGACGGUACUGACGCUGAGACGCGAAAGCGUGGGGGAGCGAACAGG